AUGAGCCACCACACUCUUCUUCGUUUUCACCUGUAAGAUCUCAAGCAAAAACCCUAAAACUACAAUGCGCCGCCGCACUCUUCUUCGUUUUCACCUCGUGUGUUUCUUUAUCUUCAUCCCUUUUCUCUCCUCUAUUUGAAUCGAUUCAAGGCUACAACAUAGAGGAUUUCAUCUCAGUAGAUCAAAAGUGAGAAUUUGGAGUAAAUUAGGGUUGAAGUUGGAUAUGACUCAGUUGCUGAAGGUGAAGACUAUGUUCUUGAAAGUAUAAGGUGCUAGUUUUAUAACAGGUGAAAUGUGUCUCAUGAAAGAAAGGAGAUUCAACCAUUACAACAUUUUUGGCCAUGAGAAAAUCAUUAUCAAGGUAUAUGUCCAGGGUUUUAAUUUUCUUGUCAUAUUAUUUGUUAAUGCUUGUUGUUAAUCUAUAAGAUACUUGUUAGGCAACCAAGUGGAAUUGAAAAACAAAGAUGGGUAUUCUAAGGAAGAUGUAAUCAAUGUAUCAAAAAUUGAAUUUUUAAGUGUUGUAAGUAGAUCAGAUGAAGAUGGAUUAUCUAUCAAUAAUCUUGGAGGAGAAACCAUGAAAUUUAUGUUGCCUGUGUCUGCUUAAAGAGUUUUAUUUGGAUUAA